GCGGCGUGCUUAACACAUGCAAGUCGAACGGAAAGGCCCUGCUUUUGUGGGGUGCUCGAGUGGCGAACGGGUGAGUAACACGUGAGCAACCUGCCCUUGACUUUGGGAUAACUUCAGGAAACUGGGGCUAAUACCGGAUAGGAGCUCCUGCUGCAUGGUGGGGGUUGGAAAGUUUCGGCGGUUGGGGAUGGACUCGCGGCUUAUCAGCUUGUUGGUGGGGUAGUGGCUUACCAAGGCUUUGACGGGUAGCCGGCCUGAGAGGGUGACCGGCCACAUUGGGACUGAAAUACGGCCCAGACUCCUACGGGAGGCAGCAGUGGGGAAUAUUGCACAAUGGGCGGAAGCCUGAUGCAGCAACGCCGCGUGCGGGAUGACGGCCUUCGGGUUGUAAACCGCUUUCGCCUGUGACGAAGCGUGAGUGACGGUAAUGGGUAAAGAAGCACCGGCUAACUACGUGCCAGCAGCCGCGGUGAUACGUAGGGUGCGAGCGUUGUCCGGAUUUAUUGGGCGUAAAGGGCUCGUAGGUGGUUGAUCGCGUCGGAAGUGUAAUCUUGGGGCUUAACCCUGAGCGUGCUUUCGAUACGGGUUGACUUGAGGAAGGUAGGGGAGAAUGGAAUUCCUGGUGGAGCGGUGGAAUGCGCAGAUAUCAGGAGGAACACCAGUGGCGAAGGCGGUUCUCUGGGCCUUUCCUGACGCUGAGGAGCGAAAGCGUGGGGAGCGAACAGGCUUAGAUACCCUGGUAGUCCACGCUGUAAACGGUGGGUACUAGGUGUGGGGUCCAUUCCACGGGUUCCGUGCCGUAGCUAACGCUUUAAGUACCCCGCGUGGGGAGUACGGCCGCAAGGCUAAAACUCAAAGGAAUUGACGGGGCCCCGCACAAGCGGCGGAGCAUGCGGAUUAAUUCGAUGCAACGCGUAGAACCUUACCUGGGUUUGACAUGGAUCGGGAGUGCUCAGAGAUGGGUGUGCCUCUUUUGGGGUCGGUUCACAGGUGGUGCAUGGCUGUCGUCAGCUCGUGUCGUGAGAUGUUGGGUUAAGUCCCGCAACGAGCGCAACCCUUGUUCACUGUUGCCAGCACGUUAUGGUGGGGACUCAGUGGAGACCGCCGGGGUCAACUCGGAGGAAGGUGGGGAUGACGUCAAGUCAUCAUGCCCCUUAUGUCCAGGGCUUCACGCAUGCUACAAUGGCUGGUACAGAGAGUGGCGAGCCUGUGAGGGUGAGCGAAUCUCGGAAAGCCGGUCUCAGUUCGGAUUGGGGUCUGCAACUCGACCUCAUGAAGUCGGAGUCGCUAGUAAUCGCAGAUCAGCAACGCUGCGGUGAAUACGUUCCCGGGGCUUGUACACACCGCCCGUCAAGUCAUGAAAGUUGGUAACACCCGAAGCCGGUGGCCUAACCGUUGUGGGGGAGCCGUCGAAGGUGGGACUGGUGAUUAG
rnacentral:rRNA from 1 species